GACGAACGCUGGCGGCGCGCCUAACACAUGCAAGUCGAACGAGCGAGAGAGAGCUUGCUUUCUCGAGCGAGUGGCGAACGGGUGAGUAACGCGUGAGGAACCUGCCUCAAAGAGGGGGACAACAGUUGGAAACGACUGCUAAUACCGCAUAAGCCCACGGCUCGGCAUCGAGCAGGGGGAAAAGGAGCAAUCCGCUUUGAGAUGGCCUCGCGUCCGAUUAGCUAGUUGGUGGGGUAACGGCCCACCAAGGCGACGAUCGGUAGCCGGACUGAGAGGUUGAACGGCCACAGUGGGACUGAGACACGGCCCAGACUCCUACGGGAGGCAGCAGUGGGGAAUAUUGCACAAUGGGGGAAACCCUGAUGCAGCGACGCCGCGUGGAGGAAGAAGGUCUUCGGAUUGUAAACUCCUGUUGUUGGGGAAGAUAAUGACGGUACCCAACAAGGAAGAGACGGCUAACUACGUG
rnacentral:rRNA from 1 species